AUUGAACGCUGGCGGCAGGCCUAACACAUGCAAGUCGAACGGCAGCGGGGGGUAGCUUGCUACCCCGCCGGCGAGUGGCGGACGGGUGAGUAAUGCCUGGGGAGCUGCCCAACCGAGGGGGAUACCAGUUGGAAACGACUGCUAAUACCGCAUACGCCCUGAGGGGGAAAGGUGGGGAUCUUCGGACCUACCGCGAUUGGAUGCACCCAGGUGGGAUUAGCUAGUUGGUGAGGUAACGGCUCACCAAGGCGACGAUCUCUAGCUGGUCUGAGAGGAUGACCAGCCACACUGGAACUGAGACACGGUCCAGACUCCUACGGGAGGCAGCAGUGGGGAAUAUUGCACAAUGGGGGAAACCCUGAUGCAGCCAUGCCGCGUGUGUGAAGAAGGCCUUAGGGUUGUAAAGCACUUUCAGUGGGGAGGAAAGGGUGGAAGCUAAUACCUUUCAUCUGUGACGUUACCCACAGAAGAAGCACCGGCUAACUCCGUGCCAGCAGCCGCCGUAA
rnacentral:rRNA from 1 species